GCCGCCGUAGCUCAGCCUGGUUAGAGCGCCGGCCUUGUAAGCCGGCGGUCGCGGGUUCAAAUCCCGCCGGCGGCU
rnacentral:tRNA from 8 species